rnacentral:sRNA from 1 species
UAGGAGACAGAGGCUGGUCGCGAUCGC